GGUAGCAUGGACGAGUGGUUUAAGUCGACAGAUUUAAGUUUCGAGUAAACUUCCUGUUGCCGUUAUGGCGCGUGGGUUCGAACCCCACUGCUACCA
rnacentral:tRNA from 1 species